GACGAACCGAGCGAACGUUGUUCGGAAUCACUGGGCUUAAAGGGCGCGUAGGCGGGUGCUCAAGUCCGGGGGUGAAAUCCCACAGCUCAACUGUGGAACUGCCUCGGAUACUGGGCGUCUCGAGUGUGGUAGGGGUAUGCGGAACUAUCGGUGGAGCGGUGAAAUGCGUUGAUAUCGAUAGGAACUCCGGUGGCGAAGGCGGCAUACUGGACCACCACUGACGCUGAUGCGCGAAAGCCAGGGGAGCAAACGGG
rnacentral:rRNA from 1 species